UGCUUCGCUGACGAGUGGCGGACGGGUGAGUAAUGUCGGGGAAACUGGCUGAUGGAGGGGGAUAACUACUGGAAACGGUGAGCUAAUACCGCAUAACGUCGCAAGACCAAAGAGGGGGACCUUAGGGCCUCUUGCCAUCGGAUGUGCCCAGAUGGGAUUAGCUAGUAGGUGGGGUAACGGCUCACCUAGGCGACGAUCCCUAGCUGGUCUGAGAGGAUGACCAGCCACACUGGAACUGAGACACGGUCCAGACUCCUACGGGAGGCAGCAGUGGGGAAUAUUGCACAAUGGGCGCAAGCCUGAUGCAGCCAUGCCGCGUGUAUGAAGAAGGCCUUCGGGUUGUAAAGUACUUUCAGCGGGGAGGAAGGGAGUAAAGUUAAUACCUUUGCUCAUUGACGUUACCCGCAGAAGAAGCACCGGCUAACUCCGUGCCAGCAGCCGCGGUAAUACGGAGGGUGCAAGCGUUAAUCGGAAUUACUGGGCGUAAAGCGCACGCAGGCGGUUUGUUAAGUCAGAUGUGAAAUCCCCGGGCUCAACCUGGGAACUGCAUCUGAUACUGGCAAGCUUGAGUCUCGUAGAGGGGGGUAGAAUUCCAGGUGUAGCGGUGAAAUGCGUAGAGAUCUGGAGGAAUACCGGUGGCGAAGGCGGCCCCCUGGACGAAGACUGACGCUCAGGUGCGAAAGCGUGGGGAGCAAACAGGAUUAGAUA
rnacentral:rRNA from 1 species